AUUACAAUUCACAUUCAGUAUUAUUUUGUAUCAGUUUCAGGUGUACAGCAUAGUGGUUACACAAUCAUUUACUUCACAAAGUGCUCCCCCCUGAUAUUUCCAGGACCCAUCUGGCACA